CGUACAUGUACAGGCACUGCAGAUGUGGCUGUCACUUCACAUGUGCAUGAGUAGAUGGCUGAGAGGAGAAAGGCAAUGUCUAAGUUCAAUGUUCUGACUUAUGAACAUCUGAAUUAUUAGUAACCCAACAUU
ensembl:snoRNA Gm26029 small nucleolar RNA SNORA17